GGAGAUUUUAUAUGAUGUUUUCAGAGAUGUAGAGAGAUGUCAAAAGUAUAUCAAAAUCAACAUCCAGUGAACCCAAAAAAGCACAGAAGGUGGUCAGAGAAGCUCCACGGGAAGCUGUCAAUGUGGAUAAUGCUGCCCAGCUUUUCUCUCAACUGUAGAAGCCCAUUUUAACAUGCUGAACAUGGACUAAUCACAGACACGUCAUACCAAAAUUCUCAAACAAAAACAGUUCAUAAUAACUGCUGAUCAGCUAUAUUAUUUAUUACAUGAAUAUCCCUGUGUAGGUAAUUUUUUUUUUUGCAUUAUUUCUAGUGCCCUCGUAGGACUGGUUUUGUAAAUGCACUUUGCAGCAGUGCAUGCUGAUCACACAAGCUUAAUGUCCAAAAAUACAUUAGUAAGUUUUCCUAUAGCACUGAUUUUUUUUGGAUUGGAAUAUUGUCUAUGCUUGCUGAAGCAUAAAGAACAAAGUCAUUAAAGACUGAAUUCGAUCAGA